rnacentral:tRNA from 1 species
CAAUAAAUAGUUUAAUAAAAAAUUUAAGUUUUGGGAACUUAAGAUAUAAUUUUUAUUUUAUUGA